GGAUUCCUUCUUAAAGCUUCGAUCCCUUGUCGGCGUAGCUGUCCAAUUUCCCUUGGCCAUGGAGACGACGACCACGAUCCUCCUCGCCGCUACCGAGGUCGAGGAGGAGUUCUUUGAGGUGCUGGGUGCCCGCCACCACCAUGGUCUUUCGACAGAUGUAGUUCCAGGAUCUGCCGGCAUUAUCUUUGACGAGAAGCGGAAAUGAUUGAAAGAGUGAAAGCAAGUCGUAAAUAUCAGAGUCGAGCACUUCUUUCAAAGGAAGGAGCAAGGUUUUGACCAUCGGACAUUAUAUAACACAAGAAACACAAAGAAGAUGGAUCACUGGAACAAAAAGGACUUCUUGAAGGCACAAUUAAUCAUUGUUUUUUUUUUUUUUUUGGAUUAUCAAGGAUGAUGAUUGGAUCAUAUUUGAAUAAAUAGCAAGAACACAUCUUCACUUUGUGUACCAUCCAAUUUUUAUUGGUGUCUGCGAAGGAAAAUUAUUAUUUUUGUUAUGAGUCUGACAUUUUUGUUAAAUCGUUGAUCGGAAAAGGAAAAAACUUAGUAUUUUGAUUUUCAUUCUGAUCAAUAUAAAAAAAUUUAAUAUUUUUUAUUUCUA